GCCCUUGCCUCCCGGCCAUGAAGACGUUGGUGAGCCAGUGGGCUGUGUCCAGAGGGAACAUGGGAUCUGCAGGAAUGGAGCCACUUGGAACCAGGAGGGGAUAUGUCUGACCAAAGAGCAGUGGGACGGCCACUGUGCCCAGGAGGAAUUUUACCUCUUGGACAAGCCUUCCUCACCACGUGCCGUGGGUCAUCCCUGCAACUUGGACCAAGGGACAAAAUCUGUGCCUCUGUAUGUGAUCAAGGUGAAUGAGCAUGGCUUCCAGGGUCUGAUCAGACCAGGCUCUGAGCUUCUGCACAUACUGGGCCUGCCUCUCAUGGAU